rnacentral:rRNA from 1 species
UACGAAGGGGGCGAGCGUUGUUCGGAUUUACUGGGCGUAAAGGGCUCGUAGGCGGCCAACUAAGUCAGACGUGAAAUCCCUCGGCUUAACCGGGGAACUGCGUCUGAUACUGGAUGGCUUGAGUUUGGGAGAGGGAUGCGGAAUUCCAGGUGUAGCGGUGAAAUGCGUAGAUAUCUGGAGGAACACCGGUGGCGAAGGCGGCAUCCUGGACCAACACUGACGCUGAGUGAGCGAAAGCGUGGGGAGCGAACAGG